GAUGAAGAACGCAGCGAAAUGCGAUAAGUAGUGUGAAUUGCAGAAUUCCGUGAAUCAUCGAAUCUUUGAACGCACAUUGCGCCCCCUGGUAUUCCGGGGGGCAUGCCUGUCCGAGCGUCAUUGCAACCCUCAAGCGCGGCUUGUGUGUUGGGCCCUCGUCCCCCGUGGACGUGCCCGAAAUGCAGUGGCGGCGUCGUGUUCCGGUGCCCGAGCGUAUGGGGCUUUGUCACCCGCUCUUGAGGCCUGGCCGGCUCCGGCCCAUCAACCAUCGAGGACCCGUUCCUCAACCAGGUUGACCUCGGAUCAGGUAGGGAUACCCGCUGAACUUAAGCAUAUCAAUAAGCGGAGGA
rnacentral:misc_RNA from 1 species